rnacentral:rRNA from 1 species
UGAAAGCAUAUUAAGCGCGAAACUAACUUCAAGAUUAGAUUUCCCUAUGAGGACACAGAAAGACUAUCUGUUUGAUAGGCGCAAGGUGGAAGUACAGUAAUGUAUGGAGCUAAAGCGUACUAAUAGUCCCAUCGCCUUUUUA